GCGCAUUAAACACUAUCUCGAUUGUCAGUGUAACUCUGUGUUUUGUCGAAGCAGCAUUUCUGUAUUCCCAAUUUAUUUACUUAUCAAAUCGUAAUAAUUAAAAAUGAACGAGACAGAUUGGGAUCACGAUAAUCACUUUUAUAUGGAUUUUGUUUUAUUAACAGAAGAAAUAUUGAUUGCGGCUUCUGCUGUAUUAAACGUUGUGGUUAACAUGUUAAUGGUGUGUUGUUUAUUCAAAGUAGGAUUGAAAUCGUCAACUAAUGUUGGUGUGUUUAAUUUAUCAUUAUUGGAUAUAAUACAACUUUUAAGCUGCCCUGCUAUGUAUAAAGUUUUCUCCAAAACGCACGAUGUUUUAGAAGUAUUUGAAUCGUAUAGUAUUUUCGCAAAUAUAUAUUACAGUGCAAUGGUUGGAAUAUUAAUGUGUUAUGGACUAAUGAUACUAAAAAGGCAUAUACCAUACCUUGAGAAAAAGUUUAAAUUUUUUAUACCAGGAGUAUGGGUAAUUAUAGUUAUUAAGUGUGUCGUGGGAUACAUUAGAUACAAGAGGUAUUAUGAUACACCCGGAUUCCUAGAAAUUUAUAUCUUACUGUCCAUUGUAUUAUUUGUAAUAAUAACCAUAGAACAAAUAAUUACUACUCUAAAUUGGGGCAGUGACAUAAUAUUAGACCACAAAAUAUCAAUAGUACUUACUUUGUUUUUUAUUAGUCUUCGAAUAUGUUUUAUUAUAAUUCUUAGUUUUCUUGGACAUUUCUUUAAGCGUUACAUACACCCACAAAUUGUUAUAAGUUUAAUUAACUUUAAUGCUUCAGGAAAUAUAGUAUUAAUGGCUUAUAUGGAUAGGAAAUUCAGAUAUGCUUUAUAUGACAUUUUAAGAAUUAAGCGCAUUGCACAUAAUAAUAAUGUAAAUUUUGUUAAUUUACCUGAAGAAACUGUAAAUAUAUUAGCAGAUGAAUAAAUAAAUAAUUUUACAAUGACA